rnacentral:misc_RNA from 1 species
AACGCAAAUUGCGCCUUCUUUCGGAAGGCAUGUCUGUUUGAGGGCACCAUUUAACAAAUAAUGUGCGCGUCGUUUUUACGAGCGACGUGCGCACGUUGAUGAGCUUUUCCGAAAAAACCAGGUUUUUUUUGGUGGCGCAUAAUGAACAGCGUGGGCUUUUUCUUCGAUUCUCGUGUAGUAAAUCUUCAACGCUUGGGUUGAGAAAAAGUGCGUGCCGCGCAAUGGGUGUGGCGAAUUUACCCCUGCCCCAAUGCCACUCUUUCCCUGCGAAAGAACAAUCUUUUAUUCAGGGCCUCAAAUCAGACAAGAGUACCCGCUGAACUUAA